AUCACAUCAAUCCGGUGGAUCAAAUGAAUCCGGUGGAUCACAUCAAUCCGGUGGAUCAAAUGAUUCCAUGAUCCACUACGAUGUAUUGGGUUUGACUAAACUGGCUACAAAGGCUGACAUUAAAAAGAAAUUUCGUGAAUUGGCUAGAGAGCAUCAUCCAGAUAAAAACAUGGAUUUAUCUACCGAUGAACUUUUGAAGAAACAAGAAGUUAUGAAACGGAUCAAUUCAGCCUACGUAGCUUUGAAGGGAUGAUAAAAGUCGUGAAUUCGAAUUCAAUUUCAAUUUCGAGGAUAAAUUUUGGUUUAUUGAACGGAUAUAGCGAUAGCAAUUUGCAUAAAUUUCAUAAAUUAAAAGCCUCUGUUCGUCAAACACGUUUCAUGACUUGGUUUAGCGAACCGAAUGCACUGAAAGAGCCAACUAAAUAACUGGCCAACCAAAGACUGUGCCUCGUCAACGAAAGCAAUAAAACGAAUCAAGAUCUUUUGGUGGUUCAGCCUUUCGGUGCAUUCCGGUUUGCGAUACCAAGCCGAUCACAUUUGUAUUCCAUUUUCGC